rnacentral:rRNA from 1 species
UUGAACGCUGGCGGCAUGCUUUACACAUGCAAGUCGAACGGUAACAGGGAGCUUGCUCCGCUGACGAGUGGCGAACGGGUGAGUAAUGCAUCGGAACGUACCCAGUCGUGGGGGAUAACGUAGCGAAAGUUACGCUAAUACCGCAUACGUCCUGAGGGAGAAAGCGGGGGACCGUAAGGCCUCGCGCGAUUGGAGCGGCCGAUGUCGGAUUAGCUAGUUGGUGGGGUAAAGGCCUACCAAGGCGACGAUCCGUAGCGGGUCUGAGAGGAUGAUCCGCCACACUGGGACUGAGACACGGCCCAGACUCCUACGGGAGGCAGCAGUGGGGAAUUUUGGACAAUGGGGGCAACCCUGAUCCAGCCAUGCCGCGUGAGUGAAGAAGGCCUUCGGGUUGUAAACCGCUUUCAGCCGGAAAGAAAUCGUCAAGGCUAAUAUCCUUGAUGGAUGACGGUACCGGAAGAAGAAGCACCGGCUAACUACGU